GGUUAAGUUAACAAGGGCGCAUGGUGAAUGCCUUGGCACUAGGAGCCGAUGAAGGACGGGACUAACACCGAUAUGCUUCGGGGAGCUGUACGUAAGCUAUGAUCCGGAGAUUUCCGAAUGGGGCAACCCAGCAGUUUUAAUCAACUGUUACCACUAGAUGAAUUCAUAGUCUAGUUGGAGGUAAACGCUGUGAACUGAAACAUCUCAUUAGCAGCAGGAAUAUAAAGAAAUUUCGAUUCCCUAAGUAGCGGCGAGCGAACGGGGAACAGCCCAAACCAAAGUGCUUGCACUUUGGGGUUGUAGGACUGAACAUUUGAGUUACCAAAGAACUUGAUAGUCGAAGGAUUUGGGAAAAUCCGCCAUAGAUGGUGAUAGCCCAGUAGAUUAAAUCAAAUUCUCUCAGUUCAGGAUCCUGAGUACGGCGGAACACGUGAAAUUCCGUCGGAAUCCGGGAGGACCAUCUCCCAAGGCUAAAUACUACCUAGUGACCGAUAGUGAACCAGUACCGUGAGGGAAAGGUGAAAAGCACCCCGGGAGGGGAGUGAAAUAGUUCCUGAAACCAUGUGCCUACAAUAAGUCAGAGCGCGUUAAUGCGUGAUGGCGUGCCUUUUGUAGAAUGAACCGGCGAGUUAUGAUCCCGUGCAAGGUUAAGACUAAAAAGUCGGAGCCAUAGCGAAAGCGAGUCUGAAAUGGGCGAUUUGAGUACGAGGUUAUAGACCCGAAACCAGGUGACCUAUCCAUGUCCAGGUUGAAGGUGCGGUAAAACGCACUGGAGGACCGAACCCGUGUAAGUUGAAAAUUGCUGGGAUGAGGUGUGGAUAGCGGUGAAAUUCCAAACGAACUUGGAGAUAGCUGGUUCUCUCCGAAAUAGCUUUAGGGCUAGCCUCGGAUUAAGGAUCAUGGAGGUAGAGCACUAUUUGGACUAGGGGCCCGUCUUGGGUUACUGAAUUCAGAUAAACUCCGAAUGCCAUUGAUUCAUGUCCGGGAGUCAGACGAUGAGUGAUAAGAUCCACCGUCGAAAGGGGAACAGCCCAGACCAUCAGUUAAGGUCCCUAAAUGUAUGCUAAGUGGAAAAGGAUGUGGAGUUGCAUAGACAACUAGGAUGUUGGCUCAGAAGCAGCCACCAUUUAAAGAGUGCGUAAUAGCUCACUAGUCGAGUGAUCCUGCGCCGAAAAUGUACCGGGGCUAAGCAUACUACCGAAACCAUGGAUGCGACCAUUAGGUCGCGUGAUAGGAGAGCGUUCUAAGGGCGGUGAAGCAAGAUCGUGAGGACUUGUGGAGCGCUUAGAAGUGAGAAUGCCGGUAUGAGUAGCGAAAGAUAGGUGAGAAUCCUAUCCACCGAAUGACUAAGGUUUCCUGGGGAAGGCUCGUCCUCCCAGGGUUAGUCGGGACCUAAGUCGAGGCCGAGAGGCGUAGACGAUGGAUAACAGGUUGAGAUUCCUGUACUAGUUAAGUGCGUUUGAGCAAUGGAGGGACGCAGGAGGCUAAGAUGUGCAUUCUGUUGGAUUAGAAUGUCCAAGCAGUAAGUCUUGUGAAGAGUCAAAUGCUUUUCACUUUAAGGACAAGCUGUGAUGGGGAGCGAAAUUUAGUAGCGAAGCGUCUGAUGUCACACUGCCGAGAAAAGCUUCUAGUGAGUACUUAACUACCCGUACCGCAAACCGACACAGGUAGUCGAGGAGAGAAUCCUAAGGUGAGCGAGUGAACUCUCGUUAAGGAACUCGGCAAAAUGACCCCGUAACUUCGGGAGAAGGGGUGCUGAUCGCAAGAUCAGCCGCAGUGAAUAGGCCCAGGCGACUGUUUAUCAAAAACACAGGUCUCUGCAAAAUCGUAAGAUGACGUAUAGGGGCUGACGCCUGCCCGGUGCUGGAAGGUUAAAAGGAUGGGUUAGCUUCGGCGAAGCUCAGAAUUGAAGCCCCAGUAAACGGCGGCCGUAACUAUAACGGUCCUAAGGUAGCGAAAUUCCUUGUCGGGUAAGUUCCGACCCGCACGAAAGGCGUAACGAUCUGGGCACUGUCUCAACGAGAGACUCGGUGAAAUUAUAUUGUCCGUGAAGAUGCGGACUACCCGCGACAGGACGGAAAGACCCCAUGGAGCUUUACUGUAGCUUGAUAUUGAGUGUUUGUACAGCUUGUACAGGAUAGGUAGGAGCCAUAGAAACCGGAACGCUAGUUUCGGUGGAGGCGUUGGUGGGAUACUACCCUCGCUGUAUGACCACUCUAACCCGCACCACUAAUCGUGGUGGGAGACAGUGUCAGGUGGGCAGUUUGACUGGGGCGGUCGCCUCCUAAAAAGUAACGGAGGCGCCCAAAGGUUCCCUCAGAAUGGUUGGAAAUCAUUCGCAGAGUGUAAAGGCACAAGGGAGCUUGACUGCGAGACAGACAGGUCGAGCAGGGACGAAAGUCGGGCUUAGUGAUCCGGUGGUACCGUAUGGAAGGGCCAUCGCUCAACGGAUAAAAGCUACCCUGGGGAUAACAGGCUUAUCUCCCCCAAGAGUCCACAUCGACGGGGAGGUUUGGCACCUCGAUGUCGGCUCAUCGCAUCCUGGGGCUGUAGUCGGUCCCAAGGGUUGGGCUGUUCGCCCAUUAAAGCGGUACGCGAGCUGGGUUCAGAACGUCGUGAGACAGUUCGGUCCCUAUCCGUCGCGGGCGUAGGAAAUUUGAGAGGACCUGUCCUUAGUACGAGAGGACCGGGAUGGACAUACCUCUGGUGUACCAGUUGUGCCGCCAGGCGCAUCGCUGGGUAGCUACGUAUGGAUGUGAUAAACGCUGAAAGCAUCUAAGUGUGAAACACACCUCGAGAUGAGAUUUCCCAUUCCUUUAUGGAAGUAAGACCCCUGAAAGAUGAUCAGGUAGAUAGGUUAGAAGUGGCAGUGCGGUGACGCAUGAAGCGGACUAAUACUAAUCGGUCGAGGACUUAACCAA
rnacentral:rRNA from 1 species